rnacentral:lncRNA from 1 species
CACAGCCUCACUUAUUUGCUGAGGCUGACUUUGAACUUGCUAUACUCCUGCCUUAGCCUUCUGAAGCUCCGGCAUUGUGUGUGUGCCAUCCGCCUGGCUUGGGCUUUAAUUUUGACUUCUAAGUUGGUGUAUCUUCCUGGCACUGGUACCUGGGGCCUUUUUUUAAAUUGCUGUGGUGUUGGGGAUUGCAUCCACACCUGGUGUGUGCUGCACAAGUGUCCCACUGUGAGCCGUUCCCUAGCCCCGAUAGCCUCAUGGACCAUUGCCAGGGUAUUGGUGGAAACCUGGAGGCCUGGGCCUGGCAUUUGCAACCAGAAGGGCCUGCUGUGACAGUGUUGCAGGCGUGUGUGGAGGAGUGAGCUUGACAGAAACAGCAAGCAGACAUGGAGCCAGAGGAAUGUCCACGUCCCUUCUUCCCUUCUCCUCUGGCCUGCCGGCUCCCUGCUGUGUUCCUGUGUGGCAGAUGCCUUUGCAGGGCAGGGGCACUUUUACACUGUGGUUCCACACAUGGUUAGUUGCCAGCACCGGAGCUGGGAGUUUCCCCUCCCCAGGCCAGACGGAAUCUGCCCAGCGGAGAAGGGUGCGGUGACAUCGUUCCCUUGGAGGUUCUUGAAUGAGUGCUCAGUGCUUGAACCUGUUUGAAUAUGGUUCCUUUUGUCCAGCAUUUGCUCUGAGAACCCAGUAAAGUCUGAGCAGGGUGGAUGCGCUGCUGUGACUAGGUCCUCAUGGGUGUACUCCAGCACGUCACCACAGCUAAAAUCUGGGGGUCCCCAAGUGCAUGUUCCCGUCUAAGAGACUGCUCCUGAUUGCCUGCCGUGGCUUCUCGUGUCCCUUUGUCAGUCUUCUUUGAGACUAGGUCUCACUAAGUUGCUGAGGGCCUAGCUAAAUUGUCCAGGCUGUCCUUGACACUGCGAUCCUGGUGCCUCGACCCGCUGAGUUGCCGGGAUGACAGGUGUAUGUCACCAGGCCUGGCACACUUGCUUAAUGGUUUUAGCAACAGAUUUCUUUUGCCUAUUUUGGACAUUCCUAUUAAUGGAAUGAUGAAAUAUGUAAUCUUUGGUCUGGUCCUAAAUAUGUGCCUCGAAUUAUGUAUCUCAAUUGUAAGUGGACCAAUAUUCUUCAAGAAUUCAUGGGGAAAAAUUACAGAAAAGACUCUCAGAAUAUUAAUAAUUGUUAAAACUUCUUUUUGAUUUUUC